AUUAGAUAACAGUCAUCAACCUGGCCAGGCAGGGUCAAGUCCGGUGACCAUCAUGCUCCUUAAUGAGCCGAUCCCCACGUCAGCUGUUCUUUUAGGACCGGCUUGAGCUCAGAGUCUGGCCCUCUCAAGGUCGGUCCAGGUUCAGUCAGGCUAGACCUGGCGCAAACCCGGAUGUUUUCUGCUCUACUUGCAGUUCAAAGAAAAUAUACAGUUAUAUCUCUUUGCUUCAGUGCUUCUUCUGGAGUCCUGUUCUUUGCCAUAAACAUGUCUCUAUCAUUUGGUGCUAUAAUUGCAAAUGGCUUGGAUAUUGAGCGGGUUCUUGUUCUGAUUCUUUACUGUAAGAACCAGACGACAAAGGGUUUACGCUAGAAGACAAUUGAAAGCAAACAUGUGCUGCUUUUGACCAUGAAAACGCAUUACUUUGCGUAAAUUGAACUGUAUCUUCUAAAGCAACCUAGUUAGUGAGUGGUGGCGUCUUCCCAACCAGUAGAGUACCGUAGUGAUGGAUGACUACAAAUGAAUGUCUGACUCGAACAUGCAGGGGUGCUGCAUAACGUAUGACACAGUUGACACUGCCAACAUAUAAUCAACGUCAGUUUCUUUUUGCGAAACCGAUAUGAAUCGAUGUGUCAGAGAAAGAGAAGGGAAAAAGAGAAGGUAGAGAAUGAUAGAGAGCCAAAAGAAAUUGGACGUCGUGCUGACUGAGAAGAAGAAGGAAUACAAAAAUGUAUGGAAUCGGGGAAGGCCACUGCUGAUCAUGGCAGGGGUAAAGCCAACCGUCGAUUCUGCGCUUCAUCGAGAGCUCAGAGUUCUAACAAUUCCUCUAUAAAAGAGGGAUUUCUCCAUGAGAGAGAGAGAGAGAGAGAGAGAUGAAUACGAGAAAUGCAGGUAAAAGAGGGCACCGGACCAAGGAAGAAGAUAGGUAUGAAGGGUUUUUCUUUUGUGUGCUUUCUGUUCUUCAAGAUCGAUAAGGAGUAAAUAAGAACAUAAUGUUUGACAGAGGGUACUGGAAUGUAAAAUAUUGAAUUUUUAAAAAUCUGAGUGGGGGACGAUCAGUGGGGGAAUUGAUCUGAAAGGCAGAUAAUAAUUGAACGAGAUUCUUCUUGAUGACAUAUUUUGUAAUUUAAGUGGUGAUUAUUGCUAUCA